GGACGCGUAGUAUAGUGGUCAUUAUGUCUCCUUUACACGGAGAAGGUCGCAUGUUCGAGCCAUGCCGCGUUCA
rnacentral:tRNA from 2 species